rnacentral:lncRNA from 1 species
UCUUCAGGUCCUGGGAGACAAUGCCAUUGAUCAUGGAACUGCAAUCCUUGAUGAUUUUCCUAAUGUUCUUCCCAGCAUGUAAGAGAAAAAUCCUGUAGACAAUACAUCGCUUUGUUGUGUCAUUCCAUGUCAUUUCAUGUUUCAUUUUUCUUCUCCAUAUACAGACAUUUCCUCUCAGAUCACUCUUACUGAGUCUGGAGGUGGCGUGAAAAGACCAGGAGAGACAUUGCGACUGACCUGUACGGUGACUGGGUUUUCUUUAACAAGCUAUGGCGUACAGUGGAUCCGUCAGCCACUCGGAAAGGGACUGGAAUGGGCUGGUGGUAUCUGGAGUGGUGGAAGCACUGAAUAUAGCAGUGCCCUCCAAAACCGGAUCACCAUCUCAAGAGACACCUCAAAAAACCAGGUGUUCCUGCAACUGACUAGCCUGAAGCCUGAAGACUCGGCCAUGUAUUACUGUUCAAGGCACACAG